CCAUGUAGUUAAGUCACUGACAUGUGGGCCAUAGCAAAGUAGGACCCACAUGUCAGUGACUCAACUGCAUGU
rnacentral:misc_RNA from 1 species